ensembl:lncRNA uncharacterized LOC114427389
GCCUAGGAAGAGGGAGGGGAAUGGAUCUUUUCUGUAUGAGUCGCCGGCGCUCCCUCAGCCUGCUCCUUACCACCUGUCCUUGACAUACUGUGCACAGGCGAGACUGAGAGGAAGCUAUACUGCUCACUCCUCCUCUGCCACUGUCCUGUCUGUGUUUAUGUGGGCUGCUGCAUUUUUUUAUUUUACUCUGGGGCUGUUUCCUCCUACCUGUGGUGCUUCAGUGGAUUGGUGGCAGGAGGAAGGUUUGUCCUCGGCUGGUGGAGCUCUGAUGGGAGGCAACGCUGACUCUGGCUGGGACUGGGGAUGCUGAACGGAGGGAGGGAGGGCCUGUUUGAGCUGGGACAGCAGCUCCAGCAGCAGGGGGAGUACCAGGCCGCCCUCCACUGCUUUCUCAGCUGCCUGUUGGGACUGACCCAUGUGCAGAGCUUCACCUCUCUGCCCAACUGCUUACACCAGAUUGCAGAACUCUUCAUCACUGAAAAGAAUUAUGGGAAGGCCCUCCAGUUCAUUCAGGCUGAAAAAAUGUUCUAUGAAGUGGCAUUGAUCGAGCUCACGGCUCUUCAAGGGAGCACAGGGCCUCAGGAGGAGGCUACACUGGGCUCAGCAGGAUGGACAACCCCAGAGGAACUUUCAGAGCAGGCCUCCCAGGCACAGCACCUGGAGCGGCUGGCUCAGCUCUGCAUCAUGAGCAAACAACCUCAUCUUGCCCUAGAAUACAGUGGUAAAGCUACAAAGAUUCACCAGAGGGCCUUUGGUAACGACCAUCCAAUUACAGCCAGAAGCCUGGAGCUCAUGGCAACCGUCUAUGCUGAGAUUGGCAAGACUGAAUAUUCAGACUCUCUGGGUCAGUGUGUAUCGGCACUGUCCAAACGCUUCGCUGCUGCAGAGUCCCUCAGAGACACUGUCAAUAGUCUUCCUAAUGCCCAUCGGGAGAAACAUUCAGAGGUGCGCCACAGGAAGGACACACACCACCAACAGGAGGACACACUGACACAUAAGGUAACCAAUGGCAAAGUCCCCAUCUCCAUUCUGAAGAGGCCAAGUCCCAUCCAAGGGUCCGACACAGAACCCAACCACAGACGGAAAGGUGAGCGGAGGGUUCGAUUCAGGGAGCCAGAGACCACAGUCCACGCCUAUGAGACGACACCGUCCCGCCCCCACCUUGCCCUCUUCACCUGCCUGUUCUUGCUGAUGUCAUGCCUGGGUGUGGCCAUGUACUGCACAGACCGCCGGCGCCCACAGCGAGUGUGUGAGGAGCUGGAGGCCGCUUUGGCUGUCUACCUGCUGCACAUGAAACAGCUUCUGUGGGGCUGCUGGAUAUGGUUGACCAUGCAGUGACUGUGACUGACCACAGGUGGAGACAUGGAGCCUCCUUUUAUUUUUUUCAGACCCCUCUUUUUUCUUGUCUUUGAAGAUGCCCAGGCCCACAAACAACCUCAGCCAUUUGUCAAGGCGCAGUUCACUGUGUGUGGUGUUGCACUACCCUCACAGUGAAAAGGGGAAAAUGUGUAAUCCCAGAUAUAUGUAGCUUCCAUGUCUGUAUGUAUAUAUGUACUGUGGUAGUGGGCGUGCCACUCCAGAUUUGAGUUGUAACGACAUUUUUGCACAUCUGCAUUGUUGAUGCUGACACACUCAUAUAAUCUCCACAACCAUGUGAUUUUUUUUUUUUUUCGGUUCAUGUCACUGUCUGUGAGCGAAUGUUUCCAUGGAAUGCAAAUAUUUAUUUUGUUACAGUACAUACAGUAAUUUGUGUAUAUUAGAUAUUACACAGAACUGAAUGUGUAUAUAUGGCUCAAUAUACUAAGGACUAUCACAGUAUUUAGCCUUGUUAUUGCACAUAAAUGAAUGUAGAGAUGUUUGGAAGAGGCUUAUAUUGGCACAGUGCACAUUUGAGUUUACCAGUGUGUACACUGCUUGAUAAUGAUCCUUGAGAAAGAACACAGGGCUGCAUCAUUUCACAGUACCAGGCCGAAUGACUUCUUUUCAGGCUGUCUGGUGGUGUGUGUGGAUGAGCCAAUUCCAUUAUUUGCAGCACAAUAUUAUCUAUCAUCAGAGAAUAUACUCAAACUGAAUGAAUGCUAAUGCUGUUGACAGUGUUCCUCUUUAUAAUCGCUUGAAGAAAGACUCUAACCCUAUAUGUUAAUAUUCUUCUAUAUUGUAUAUCUGCAUCUACGCAAGUGUCCGACCUUCAGUUAUUUAACUUUUUUAACUUUUUGUUACCUGUAGCAUUUCUAUUUACAAUAAUAUUCAGGUUUUAAUUGAUGUCAAAUUCCCAUCAUGUGUUGGACAAGUGAACAGAUAGGGCUCAACAGUUGUUUCCAAUACAUAUAUAUAUAUAUAUAUAUAUAUAUAAUAAAGGAUGUAUUCCUCAUUACUCUUUUUGAGGC